AUAAACUUUAAACUUUAAAACCUAAAUCCUAUAUCCUAAACCUAAAUCCUUUAAAACCUAAAUCCUACACCCAAAACUCCAAACCCAAACCCUAAAACCUAAACCUUAAACCCUAAAACCUUAACCCUAAAUCCUAAACCCUAAUCCUAAACCCAAAACCCUAAACUAUAUACCCUAAACUUUAAAACCUUAAUUCUACUUUAGCUUCCGGAAUCCAGUUGCGGUUCUAGUUCUUAUACUCAAUCAUACACAUGACAUCUAGUCAGGUUUGACACAAAAACCCAAACCAUGCUUCUACUUCCUUCACAAAGAUUUGACCAUGUAGUAGAAGUCCGUAUGAUUUUUUGUUUUCCCAUCUUCCAACAAGGAAAGAACACUUU
rnacentral:sRNA from 1 species